AUCAACACAGCCUGUAUAGGGACUAUCUCGUGCUCUGAUCAUGCACCUAUCUCUAUGAAGGUAGAGACACCUUACCAGACAUGCGGCAAAUUCAUAUGGCGUCUUAAUGACUCACUGCUAAAUGACCACACCUUGAUCUCACAGAUAACCAAAGAUAUGGAAUCCUAUUUUUCCACAAACAACACACAAGAUAUUGGUAUAGAAACCCUAUGGCAAGCACACAAGGCGGUCCUCAGGGGCCAGCUUAUUAAACAUUCAAGCU